AUUUGCCUGUAUUGGUUCGGCUGAGUGGGAUUGGUUGGGUUGGAGCUUAUGGGAAUAGCCUCUUUCCUGCCCUUUAUCACAGCCUUCUCACUGAUGAUCAUUUGCAG
rnacentral:miRNA from 1 species